rnacentral:misc_RNA from 1 species
CUUCUCUUCCUCCUCGUCCGCCGUUGCUGUCUGUCUGCCUCCUCCUCCGCCGCCUAGCUGCUUACCUGCUUCCACCGCAACAAGCAGAGUGCGAGCAAAGACAGAAAACCAUGGGCGCCCUGUUGCUCUUCGCCGUCUGCCUGCUGGCGCCGAUCGUGCUGGCCUGCGCCGUCCGUGGCAGGAAGCGGCGGGCCGCCGCGCCGGCGCCGGCGCCGGCGUGCGGCAAGAAGGCGCUGCCGCUACCGCCGGGGUCGAUGGGGUGGCCGUACGUGGGCGAGACGCUGCAGCUCUACUCGUCCAAGAACCCCAACGUGUUCUUCGCCCGGAAGCAGAACCGGUACGGGCCGAUCUUCAGGACCCACAUCCUGGGCUGCCCCUGCGUGAUGGUGUCCAGCCCCGAGGCGGCGCGCUUCGUGCUCGUCACGCAGGCUCACCUCUUCAAGCCCACCUUCCCGGCGAGCAAGGAGCGCAUGCUGGGCCCGCAGGCCAUCUUCUUCCAGCAGGGCGACUACCACGCCCGCCUCCGCCGCCUCGUCUCCCGGGCUUUCUCCCCCCAGGCCAUCCGCGCCUCCGUGCCGGCUGUCGAGGCCGUCGCGCUGCGCUCGCUCCGCUCCUGGGACGGCCGCCUCGUCAACACCUUCCAAGAGAUGAAGCUGUACGCGCUGAAUGUGGCAUUGCUGUCCAUCUUCGGCGAGGAGGAGAUGCGGUACAUCGAGGAGCUGAAGCAGUGCUACCUGACGCUGGAGAAGGGGUACAACUCGAUGCCGGUGAACCUGCCGGGCACCCUGUUCCACAAGGCCAUGAAGGCCCGCAAGCGGCUGAGCGCCAUCGUGGCCCACAUCAUCGAGGCCCGGCGCGAGCGGCCGCGGCCGCGCGGGAGCGACCUCCUGGCCUCCUUCCUGGACGGCCGCGAGGCGCUCACCGACGCCCAGAUCUCCGACAACGUGAUCGGCGUCAUGUUCGCCGCCCGCGACACCACCGCCAGCGUGCUCACCUGGAUGGUCAAGUUCCUCGGCGACCACCCGGCGGUCCUCAAGGCGGUCAUCGAGGAGCAGCAGGAGAUCGCUCGGUCCAAGGGCUCCUCCGGCGACGAACCCCUGACGUGGGCGGACACCAGGCGGAUGCGCGUGACGAGCCGUGCGAUCCAGGAGACGAUGCGGGUGGCGUCCAUCCUGUCCUUCACCUUCCGGGAGGCCGUGGAGGACGUGGAGUACCAAGGGUACCUGAUCCCCAAGGGCUGGAAGGUGUUGCCCCUGUUCCGGAACAUCCACCACAGCCCCGACCACUUCCCCUGCCCGGACAAGUUCGACCCCUCCCGAUUCGAGGUUGCUCCCAAGCCCAACACGUUCAUGCCGUUCGGCAACGGGACCCACUCGUGCCCGGGGAACGAGCUCGCCAAGCUGGAGAUGCUCGUGCUCUUCCACCACCUCGUCACCAAAUACAGGUGGUCCACCUCCAAGUCCGAGAGCGGCGUGCAGUUCGGCCCCUUCGCGCUGCCGCUCAACGGCCUGCCCAUGACCUUCGCUCGCAAGGACUGAUCGAGGAGCCACUGCACGGCCAUGGAUGGUGGUAUAUGCUAGCACUACACUACUAGUAAUACCCAGGAACGCGAAAAACCGCUUCCCGGCAGCGUUGCGGCGGCGGCCAUCGGACGGGACAGGGAAGGUGACGGUGACGGGCAUCAGGCGAGCGGGCAUGGGCCAUGGGAUCGAUGAUCAGAGAAAGAAAGAUUACGCAGCUCCUUGUACAGAUUCUUCCUCAGCUAGUAGGGCCGGAUCCCAAGAAGCCGGAAGAGGAGACCAAACACAAAAUUAGGCAUAGCCGCUUAGGUGCUACUCACUCUAAGCUACUAGUACUCCAGUAGGCAAGCAUCAGAUCACCCAGCUGCGCUACAAACAAGUGGCGUUUAAUUGUAAAACCAAACCAUUUUUUUUCUCUAUCUUCUUCUUCUUCUUUUUCCCUCCCCUUUAGAUUUUUUUUAUAAGCCAGCCAGAUAGUGGCACCCAUAGGAGAGAAGAACACAAG